GUAGAAGGAGGCCUACAAUCCACCCCUGGUGCUGUGGAAAUGUCCACCCUCUACGUGCGGGUUGAAGGAAGCAAUCUGGAGACCAUCCAGCCACCACAGCCCAUACCCGGCUCCAGUGAUCCUCCGGCCGAGGAGGAAGAUGACGAGACCCUCACGGCCAAAUCCGACACCCACAUGCAGGUUGAAAGACUCUACCACUGC